UACGGAAGGCAGCAGUGGGGAAUAUUGCACAAUGGGCGCAAGCCUGAUGCAGCCAUGCCGCGUGUAUGAAGAAGGCCUUCGGGUUGUAAAGUACUUUCAGUCGUGAGGAAGGUGUUAAGGUUAAUAACCUUAGCAAUUGACGUUAGCGACAGAAGAAGCACCGGCUAACUCCGUGCCAGCAGCCGCGGUAAUACGGAGGGUGCGAGCGUUAAUCGGAAUUACUGGGCUAAAGGGCACGCAGGCGGUUAAUAAGUUGGAUGUGAAAUCCCCGGGCUUAACCUGGGAAUGGCAUUCAAGACUGGUUAGCUAGAGUCUUGUAGAGGGGGUAGAAUUCCAUGUGUAGCGGUGAAAUGCGUAGAGAUGUGGAGGAAUACCGGUGGCGAAGGCGGCCCCUGGGACAAAGACUGACGCUCAUGUGCGAAAGCGUGGGGAGCAAACAGGAUUAGAUACC
rnacentral:rRNA from 1 species